GCUUAGAGUUUGAUCCUGGCUCAGAGCGAACGCUAGCGGCGGGCUUAACACAUGCAAGUCGAGCGCCCUUCGGGGAGCGGCGAACGGGUGAGUAACACGUAGGUCAUCUACCUCUCGGUGGGGAAUAGCCCGGGGAAACCCGGAUUAAUACCGCAUGAGGUCUUCGGAUCAAAGCCUUCGGGCGCCGGGAGAUGAGCCUGCGUCCCAUUACCUAGUAGGUAGGGUAACGGCCUACCUAGGGAGCGAUGGGUAGCUGGUCUGAGAGGAUGAUCAGCCACACUGGGACUGAGACACGGCCCAGACUCCUACGGGAGGCAGCAGUGGGGAAUAUUGCGCAAUGGGCGGAAGCCUGACGCAGCCACGCCGCGUGUGUGAUGAAGGCCCUCGGGUCGUAAAGCACUGUUUGGAGGGAAGAAGUUCUGACGGUACCUCCCAAGAAAGCACCGGCUAACUCCGUGCCAGCAGCCGCGGUAAUACGGAGGGUGCAAGCGUUGCUCGGAAUCACUGGGCGUAAAGGGUACGCAGGCGGCUUGUUAAGUCGGGUGUGAAAGCCCAGGGCUCAACCCUGGAAUUGCGCUCGAUACUGGCAAGCUUGAGUACGGGAGAGGGAUAGCGGAAUUCCU
rnacentral:rRNA from 1 species